rnacentral:SRP_RNA from 1 species
GCCGGGCGUGGUGGCGCAUGCCUGUAAUCCCAGCUACUUGGGAGGCUGAGGCAGGAGAAUCGCUUGAACCUGGGAGGUGGAGGUUGCGGUGAGUUGAGAUCACGCCAUUGCACUCCAGCCUGGGUGACAGAGUGAGACUCCGUCUCAA